rnacentral:lncRNA from 1 species
UUUGAUUUUCAAAAAUAUCCAUCGAUCCAAACCUUACUACAAACCAUAAAUCCAAAUCUGAAUCCAAAUCCGCUAUCCAAAUCGAAACUCUUUCAAAAAUUCAAAACCCGAAUCCGUAUCCGUACUCCAGUCUGAAACAAUUAUUUCUCUUUACUAAUUUUCAAAAUAUAUUAUAUUAAAUCUAAAUUUUAAAAUAUGAACACAAACAAAACAUCGAAUAUUUUUAUUUAUAUAUAUUAUAUAACGUAAAAUCAAUGCGAGUUCGGGUUGGGUUCGAGUUCGGAUCAAUUACAGACAAAAUUAGCACUCGAAUCUAAAUCUGUUGGAUUUUUAUUUUUUAUAUCCGUAUCUGAAACUAUAUAUAUCUAGUGUCGAAUAAAUCCGCUACGUUCGAAUUCGAAUUCGAAUGAAUUUUUGGAUAUCAGUACCCAUUAACAUCCCUGCCAACUA